GACGAACGCUGGUGGCGUGCCUAACACAUGCAAGUCAACUUGAGGGAAGGAGCAAUCUGACCUGAUGGUGGCGCAAGGGUGCGUAACGCGUAAGUAACUUGCCCCAAGGUAAGGAAUAACGUCGAGAAAUCGGCGCUAAUACCUCAUAAUGCAGCGGAUCCGCAUGGAUAUGUUGUUAAAGGUUUACCGCCUUGGAUAGGCUUGCGUCUGAUUAGCUAGUUGGUGUGGUAAAUGGCACACCAAGGCUACGAUCAGUAACUGGUCUGAGAGGAUGAUCAGUCACACUGGAACUGAGACACGGUCCAGACUCCUACGGGAGGCAGCAGUGAGGAAUAUUGGGCAAUGCACGAAAGUGUGACCCAGCAACGCCGCGUGGAGGG
rnacentral:rRNA from 1 species